rnacentral:rRNA from 1 species
AGCGGCAGCUUAACACAUGCAAGUCGAACGGUAACUCUUAGUGCUUGCACUAAAAGACGAGUGGCGGACGGGUGCGUAACGCGUAUGCAAUCUACCUUUUACUAGGGAAUAGCCCAGAGAAAUUUGGAUUAAUCCCCUAUAAUAUCAAAAAUUCGCAUGAUUUUUUGAUUAAAGUUUCGACGGUAAAAGAUGAGCAUGCGUCCUAUUAGUUUGUAGGUGAGGUAAUGGCUCACCUAGACUACGAUAGGUAGGGGCCCUGAGAGGGGGAUCCCCCACACUGGUACUGAGACACGGACCAGACUCCUACGGGAGGCAGCAGUGAGGAAUAUUGGACAAUGGACGAAAGUCUGAUCCAGCUAUGCCGCGUGCAGGAUGACAGCCCUACGGGUUGUAAACUGCUUUUAUACAGGAAGAAAAACUCCGACGUGUCGGGGCUUGACGGUACUGUAAGAAUAAGGAUCGGCUAACUCCGUGCCAGCAGCCGCGGUAAUACGGAGGAUCCAAGCGUUAUCCGGAAUUAUUGGGUUUAAAGGGUCCGCAGGCGGUUUUUUAAGUCAGAGGUGAAAUCCUACAGCUCAACUGUAGAAUUGCCUUUGAUACUGAAAGACUUGAGUUAUUGUGAAGUGGUUAGAAUGUGUGGUGUAGCGGUGAAAUGCAUAGAUAUCACACAGAAUACCAAUUGCGAAGGCAGAUCACUAACAAUUAACUGACGCUCAGGGACGAAAGCGUGGGUAGCGAACAGGAUUAGAUACCCUGGUAGUCCACGCCGUAAACGAUGGAUACUAGCUGUAUGUCUACUUCAGGUAGAUGUGUGGCCAAGCGAAAGUGAUAAGUAUCCCACCUGGGGAGUACG